ensembl:miRNA aca-mir-150 aca-mir-150
AAACUCUCUUUCCCUCUCUCCCAACCCUUGUACCAGUGCCAACUGUAGUCCUCACUGGUACAGAGGAUGGAAGGGUGGGCCUGCAGAGAUGAGACA